UGGCCUAACAAAAUAAUGCA
rnacentral:siRNA from 1 species